rfam:Haemophilus pittmaniae HK 85 ctg1129913985447, whole genome shotgun sequence.
GCCACAUUCCAUUUUAGUUCCUUGCCUUUGCAGAUCCGUGGCCAAUCUACGUCAAAGGCUGAUUAACCCGUAAGGAGCAGUAAUG